UACAAAACACAUUGUAGUCAGGACACGGA
rnacentral:piRNA from 1 species